rnacentral:rRNA from 1 species
GACGAACGCUGGCGGCGUGCUUAACACAUGCAAGUCGAACGGAAAGGCCCUGCUUUUGUGGGGUGCUCGAGUGGCGAACGGGUGAGUAACACGUGAGUAACCUGCCCUUGACUUUGGGAUAACUUCAGGAAACUGGGGCUAAUACCGGAUAGGAGCUCCUGCUGCAUGGUGGGGGUUGGAAAGUUUCGGCGGUUGGGGAUGGACUCGCGGCUUAUCAGCUUGUUGGUGGGGUAGUGGCUUACCAAGGCUUUGACGGGUAGCCGGCCUGUGAGGGUGACCGGCCACAUUGGGACUGAGAUACGGACCAGACUCCUACGGGAGGCAGCAGUGGGGAAUAUUGCACAAUGGGCGGUAGCCUGAUGCAGCAACGCCGCGUGCGGGAUGACGGCCUUCGGGUUGUAAACCGCUUUCGCCUGUGACGAAGCGUGAGUGACGGUAAUGGGUAAAGAAGCACCGGCUAACUACGUG